rnacentral:rRNA from 1 species
CCUGACUGCUAUCGGAUUGAUACUAAGCCAUGCGAGUCAUUGUAGCAAUACAAGGCAGACGGCUCAGUAACGCGUAGUCAACCUACCCUAUGGACGGGGAUAACCUCGGGAAACUGAGAAUAAUACCCGAUAGAACAUUAUACCUGGAAUGGUUUAUGUUUCAAAUAAUUUAUUGCCGUAGGAUGGGACUGCGGCCUAUCAGUUUGUUGGUGAGGUAAUGGCCCACCAAGACUAUUACAGGUACGGGCUCUGAGAGGAGUAGCCCGGAGAUGGGUACUGAGACACGGACCCAGGCCCUAUGGGGCGCAGCAGGCGAGAAAACUUUGCAAUGUGCGAAAGCACGACAAGGUUAAUCCGAGUGGUUUCUGUUAAAGGAACCUUUUGUCAGUCCUAGAAACACUGAUGAAUAAGGGGUGGGCAAGUUCUGGUGUCAGCCGCCGCGGUAAAACCAGCACCUCAAGUGGUCAGGAUGAUUAUUGGGCCUAAAGCAUCCGUAGCCUGCUUUGUUAGUUUUCGGUUAAAUCCAUACGCUCAACGUAUGGGCUGCCGGGAAUACUGCAAAGCUAGGGAGUGGGAGAGGUAGACGGUACUCGGUAGGAAGGGGUAAAAUCCUUUGAUCUAUUGAUGACCACCUGUGGCGAAGGCGGUCUACCAGAACACGUCCGACGGUGAGGGAUGAAAGCUGGGGGAGCAAACCGGAUUAGAUACCCGGGUAGUCCCAGCUGUAAACUAUGCAAACUCGGUGAUGCAUUGGCUUGAUGCCAAUGCAGUGCCGCAGGGAAGCUGUUAAGUUUGCCGCCUGGGAAGUACGUACGCAAGUAUGAAACUUAAAGGAAUUGGCGGGGGAGCACCACAAGGGGUGAAGCCUGCGGUUC